AAAAUGUUGAUUUCAAGAAGUCAUCAGGGCUUAAAACAGCAUGGGGCUGCAGUCUGCAGGCUACCAGCCCAGCGCUUCAUACACUUGAACUUGGUUCGUCCCUCCGUGAUCUCGGAGGCCAGACACUGUCCUCUCUGUCUCACAGCUGAGCAAACCACGGGGCUCACGCUGAACCGUAAAGACAGAUGUCCAGCUGAAGAAUUUGGACUUUAUCCCAAAGGAAGCCGCUCAGAGGGUGGGGUGACCAGGUCCCUUUGCAAAUGUCACCGCCUCAGAGAGGCCCAUCAUGACCGCUCCACCUCCCUGCCAUGUAACUUCAGCUUUCUCCAGAACUUACCCUCUGGUGCAGAGACCGAGGCUCACAGAGGUUGUGACUUGCCUGAGGCCACAACAGCUGCCGCACGAUGGAGCUUCUGAGGUUAUCACUGUCUACAGUCUUGGAGCAAAUGCCAACGCCUGAAACGUCCUCAGAGAACAGGACAGCUGGGGAAGGAAUUAGGAUUUCUUCUUCUUCUUCUUCUUUUUUUUUUUUUUGGUUUAAGAUGUAUUUAUUUAUCUGAGAGAGAGAGAGCACGAGUGGGAGGGCCAGAGGGAGAGAGAAUCUCCAGCAGACUCCGCACUGAGUGCAGAGCCCCAUGGGGGGCUCAAUCUCACGAUCCCGAGAUGGAAACCAAGAGUCAGAUGCUCAACUGACUGAGCCACCCAGGCGCCGCAAGGAAUUAGGAUUGCAACACUUCCGGGAGGAGUAGGGAAUUGUGACUGAUUCACUGGAAACGACUCAAAUGACCAAGAAGGAAUUUAGGGAGGCAACCCAAUAGGUAGGGUUAGGAACUUGGGAGGCAGGCAUGCAACUCCUGCCUUUUCAGGAGUGGCCUCAAGGUUCGUGACUUGCUCUGGCCCUACGCCCCAGUUUUGCACAUCGAAGAACGCGUAUAAUAGUAGGGUCCACCUCAUCAGCAGUUACGAAGGUUCCAGUGAAAUCAGACCUAUGCAUUUAUCGAAAUCAGCACAUGGUGCUUACAAUCUGUGCAUUUCAUUCUAUGUGCAUCUUACCUUAAAAGGGGAAGAAAAAAAAAAAGCUGCGCUUGGGUGGCUCAGUCUGUUAAGUGCCGGAGUCUUGAUCCCAGCUCAGGUCUUGAUCUCGGAGCCCUGAGUUCAAGUCCCGUACUGGGCUCCAUGCUGGGUGUGGAGCCUACUUUUAAAAAAUAUAUAUGGGGAAAUAUUUGGUGAAAGCAUUUGUAAAAUCAUCAGCACAGUUGUUAGAUUGAAAUCUAAUUUUUAACUGGUGAAUUGUGAAUUACAUAUCCAGGGGGGAGUGGAUUACAGUCCUAAUCUAAGGACUGCCGUUAUUGAUGUGUUGGGUUCUCAACUGGGAAUAUUUAUUUAUAGUUUUAUUAUUUAUUUAUUUAUAAAAGAUUUUAUUUAUUUAUUUGAGAGAGAGAGCGAGCAAGCAUGAGCUGGGUGAGGGGCAGAGGGAGAAGCAGGCUCCCCACUGAGCAGGGAGCCCCAUGCGGGAUGGAUCCCAACGAUCAUGACCUGAGCCCAAAGCAGUUGCUUAACCGACUGAGCCACCCAGGCGCCCUCCCCUAAUUUUUUUUUUUUUUUUUUUUGUUUUUUUUUUUAAGUAAUCUCUACAGCCAACAUGGGACUAGAACUCACAAUCCCAAGAUCAGGAGUUGCAUGCUUUACUGACUGAAAGAGUCGCACGCUCCACGGACUGAGCCAGCCAGGCGCCCCUGGAACAUUUAUUUUUUUAAGUUAUUAACAUUAUUAAAUAAAUAACUCCAUCUAAUUUAAAUCUUACACCAAUCAUGUGUGGGAUGAGCUUUAAUAAUCUGCAUUUUACAUUCGAGGAAUUUGAGUUCCGAGGGGCGACGAAAGACCGAACUCAGGGCGGGGGCAUUGCAGGCUGGGUUGUGCCACCUGCGGCUCACUCGCGCUUUCUUGAGACCCUCGAGCCGGAGAACCGUUGUAGGUUAACGGCCCCCACCCACGUCCGGAUUCCUUUGGCGGGAAAAAAGCUUCCCCUCAACGCCCCGCCCCCAGCUGGGCCCCGUCCCCGUCCCCUCCGGUGCCCCGCCCCUCGCUAUAGCUAGACUUAGUUCGUCGGCCUUCUAUGGGUGACUUGGCCAGACUCUGGCUUCAGCACCACCUCUCGCGCGCAGGAAGGCUCCGAACGCGCCUCAGCCAAUCGGUGCCCGCGGUUCGCUCCCCGCCUUCUCAAGCCUCGCCCCUGCCCUUAAUCCUGGAAGCUUCCGCCCGGCGGGCUCAGAGCCACGCGGCGCGGCCGGGAGCUUCUUUUCGCACCCGCUACCGUUACCUCCCGGGGUCCCGGACCGCCGCCUUCCGCACCCAGGGGCCCGGAUCUCCCCUCCCGGACUCCAGAGCCUGGCUCCCCUCUUCCCGGAGCUUUGUCUCCCGCCCCCCAGGUUCAGGUUCCCCAGCCUCGGUUUCCGGCACCCCGGAUCCCUGCCUCCCGGAUCUCCGCUACCAGGACCUGGCCUCUUGAGGACCAGAGCCAAGGACCCCAGGUCCCAGCCUGAUAAACUCCCGUAUUCCCAUCCCUGGGGCCGAGAAACCCAAGUGCUCCCAGAUUUCGCCCGCCGGACGCAACCUGGGAGAGCAGAAGAGCCUCAGCGCCCAGCUUGGGGAUUUCAGACAUUCCAGGAACCAAGGCGCUGUGAAUUCCCAACUCCAGGGAACCGUCCAAAGUUCCAGCCUCCAGGCUGUGUUACAAACUCUCGGUUCUAAGGAACGCCCGCGUCCCAGGAAGGAGUCCCAAGCGCGCCCAGCUUCCAGGCGCUAA
ensembl:lncRNA